rnacentral:rRNA from 1 species
UACGUAGGGUGCAAGCGUUGUCCGGAAUUAUUGGGCGUAAAAGAGCUCGUAGGCGGUUCGUCGCGUCGGCUGUGAAAACCUGAGGCUCAACCUCAGGCCUGCAGUCGAUACGGGCGGACUUGAGUACUACAGGGGAGACUGGAAUUCCCGGUGUAGCGGUGAAAUGCGCAGAUAUCGGGAGGAACACCAAUGGCGAAGGCAGC